rnacentral:rRNA from 1 species
CAAGUCGAGCGGAAGGCCACUUCGGUGGUACUCGAGCGGCGAACGGGUGAGUAACACGUGAGUAAUCUGCCCCUGGCUUCGGGAUAGCCACCGGAAACGGUGAUUAAUACCGGAUAUGACACGGACUCGCAUGGGUUUGUGUGGAAAGUUUUUCGGCCAGGGAUGUGCUCGCGGCCUAUCAGCUUGAUGGUGAGGUAAUGGCUCACCAUGGCUUCGACGGGUAGCCGGCCUGAGAGGGUGACCGGCCACACUGGGACUGAGACACGGCCCAGACUCCUACGGGAGGCAGCAGUGGGGAAUAUUGGACAAUGGGCGGAAGCCUGAUCCAGCAACGCCGCGUGAGGGAUGACGGCCUUCGGGUUGUAAACCUCUUUCAGUACCGACGAAGCGCAAGUGACGGUAGGUACAGAAGAAGCACCGGCCAACUACGUGCCAGCAGCCGCGGUAAUACGUAGGGUGCGAGCGUUGUCCGGAAUUAUUGGGCGUAAAGGGCUCGUAGGCGGUUUGUCGCGUCGGGAGUGAAAACGCCGUGCUUAACACGGCGCUUGCUUCCGAUACGGGCAGACUAGAGGUAUUCAGGGGAGAACGGAAUUCCUGGUGUAGCGGUGAAAUGCGCAGAUAUCAGGAGGAACACCGGUGGCGAAGGCGGUUCUCUGGGAAUGACCUGACGCUGAGGAGCGAAAGUGUGGGGAGCGAACAGGAUUAGAUACCCUGGUAGUCCACACCGUAAACGUUGGGCGCUAGGUGUGGGGUCCAUUCCACGGAUUCCGUGCCGCAGCUAACGCAUUAAGCGCCCCGCCUGGGGAGUACGGCCGCAAGGCUAAAACUCAAAGGAAUUGACGG